GNNGGCCNGGCAUCCUCAANAUAAUACUUCUAUUACUCGCCAGGGGACAACGAACUGAUUUUAUCCAAAAAAUAAUCAUUGUUUAUAACCCAAAGGACUUGGCGGUGCUUUAUACCCCCUAGAGGAGCCUGUUUUAGAAUCGAUACUCCCCGCUAAACCUCACCUUUUCUUGUUAUCCCAGCCUGUAUACCGCCGUCGUCAGUCUACCCUAUGAAGGAGCAGAAGUGGGCAAGAUCGUAGAUAUUACCAACAUGUCAGGUCAAGGUGCAGCUAAUGGAAAGGGAUUAAAUGGGCUACAUUUACUGACACAGUAAACUACGAAUGUUUCGCUAUGAAAGAGCAACUGAAGGAGGAUUUAGUAGUAAGAAGAGAGUAGAGUGCUCCUCUGAACUUUAAGGCCCUGAAGCGCGUACACACCGCCCCGUCACCCUCAAAA
rnacentral:rRNA from 1 species